rnacentral:tRNA from 3 species
GGGCCCGUAGCUCAGUGGUUAGAGCCGGCCGCUCAUAACGGUCUGGUCGCCAGUUCAAAUCUGGCCGGGCCCACCA